rnacentral:rRNA from 1 species
CGGAGUGGACGCAUCACUGGUGUUCGGGUUGUCAUGCCAAUGGCACUGCCCGGUAGCUAAAUGCGGAAGAGAUAAGUGCUGAAAGCAUCUAAGCACGAAACUUGCCCCGAGAUGAGUUCUCCCUGAGACUUAGAGUCUCCUGAAGGAACGUUGAAGACGACGACGUUGAUAGGCCGGGUGUGUAAGCGCAGCGAUGCGUUGAGCUAACCGGUACUAAUGAACCGUGAGGCUUAACCUU